rnacentral:rRNA from 1 species
GACGAACGCUGGCGGCGUGCUUAACACAUGCAAGUCGAGCGGUAAGGCCUCGGGUACGACGAGCGGCGAACGGGUAGGAGUAACAACGUGGGUGGACCUCGCCCUCCCACCUUCGGGUAGUAAGACCUCGGGAAACGUAGGGUCGUAAUAACCGGACGUAGGACCUCCUCCAUGCAUGUGGGGUGGUGGGAAAGUCCGUGUC